UUUUCACUUCAAAGUGCCUGCUUUUCCCUGCCUGAAAAGCCUCCUGUUUGCUCCAGACCACCCGACCAAUUCCUGUGCAGUGGGAGCCACCAGGCAGUCUGAGCUCAGGAGUUUUGACUUAGGAGCCCAAUCCUACAUCUUUACUUUUUUAGAGAGAGAGUGGAUUUGAAUCUUGAAACAGAAGCAGACAGGGCCCUGGAUUCUGACACCGACAGCGGCUGCAA
rnacentral:lncRNA from 1 species